rnacentral:rRNA from 1 species
GAUGAACGCUGGCGGCGUGCCUAAUACAUGCAAGUCGAGCGAACAGACGAGGAGCUUGCUCCUCUGACGUUAGCGGCGGACGGGUGAGUAACACGUGGAUAACCUACCUAUAAGACUGGGAUAACUUCGGGAAACCAGAGCUAAUACCGGAUAAUAUAUUGAACCGCAUGGUUCAAUAGUGAAAGACGGUUUUGCUGUCACUUAUAGAUGGAUCCGCGCCGCAUUAGCUAGUUGGUAAGGUAACGGCUUACCAAGGCAACGAUGCGUAGCCGACCUGAGAGGGUGGUCGGCCACACUGGAACUGAGACACGGUCCAGACUCCUACGGGAGGCAGCAGUAGGGAAUCUUCCGCAAUGGGCGAAAGCCUGACGGAGCAACGCCGCGUGAGUGAUGAAGGUCUUCGGAUCGUAAAACUCUGUUAUUAGGGAAGAACAAAUGUGUAAGUAACUAUGCACGUCUUGACGGUACCUAAUCAGAAAGCCACGGCUAACUACGUG